CACUCAGGGAUGGGGUUCCUCAGCCCAGAUUGCGAGAGGGUGCAGGCCAGGCCAAGGGACCCCACCAGUGCACG
rfam:Myotis davidii contig69287, whole genome shotgun sequence.